rnacentral:rRNA from 1 species
AGGGGGGACGGAGAAGGCUAUGUUGGCCGGGCGACGGUUGUCCCGGUUUAAGCGUGUAGGCUGGUUUUCCAGGCAAAUCCGGAAAACCAAGGCUGAGGCGUGAUGACGAGGCACUACGGUGCUGAAGCGACAAAUGCCCUGCUUCCAGGAAAAGCCUCUAAGCAUCAGGUAACAUCAAAUCGUACCCCAAACCGACACAGGUGGUCAGGUAGAGAAUACCAAGGCGCUUGAGAGAACUCGGGUGAAGGAACUAGGCAAAAUGGUGCCGUAACUUCGGGAGAAGGCACGCUGAUAUGUAGGUGAAGCGACUUGCUC